rfam:Lentinula edodes NBRC 111202 DNA, contig: scaffold283.
GCCUCAGUAGCUCAGCGGUAGAGCGUUUGGUUAAUGCCCGGAAGGGCAAUGUCAAAGUAAUCAAGAGGUUAGGGUUCAAAUCCCCACUGAGGUG